AUUGAACGCUGGCGGCAUGCCUUACACAUGCAAGUCGAGCGGCAGCGCGGGGGCAACCCUGGCGGCGAGCGGCGAACGGGUGAGUAAUGCAUCGGAACGUGUCCUCUUGUGGGGGAUAACCAGUACGAAAGACUGGCUAAUACCGCAUGAGAUCGAGAGAUAGAAAGGCCGGGGGACCGCAAGGCCUCGCGCGAGAGGAGCGGCCGAUCGCCCGAUUAGCAGGUUGGGUGGGGUAAUGGCCUACCAAGGCGACGAUCGGUAGCUGGUCUGAGAGGACGACCAGCCACAC
rnacentral:rRNA from 1 species